GCCCAGAUAGCUCAGUCGGUAGAGCAGCGGACUGAAAAUCCGCGUGUCGCUGGUUCGAUCCCGGCUCUGGGCACCA
rnacentral:tRNA from 1 species